rnacentral:rRNA from 1 species
GUUGUCCGGAAUUAUUGGGCGUAAAGAGCUCGUAGGCGGUCUGUCGCGUCGGCUGUGAAAACCCGAGGCUCAACCUCGGGCCUGCAGUCGAUACGGGCAAACUAGAGUGUUGCAGGGGAGACUGGAAUCCCUGGUGUAGCGGUGAAAUGCGCAGAUAUCAGGAGGAACACCGGUGGCGAAGGCGGGUCUCUGGGCAACAACUGACGCUGAGGAGCGAAAGCGUGGGGAGCGAACAGGAUUAGAUACCCUGGUAGUCCACGCCGUAAACGUUGGGCGCUAGGUGUGGGGGCCAUUCCACGGUCUCCGUGCCGCAGCUAACGCAUUAAGCGCCCCGCCUGGGGAGUACGGCCGCAAGGCUAAAACUCAAAGGAAUUGACGGGGGCCCGCACAAGCGGCGGAGCAUGUUGCUUAAUUCGAUGCAACGCGAAGAACCUUACCUAGGCUUGACAUGCACGGAAAUCUGUCAGAGAUGGCAGGUCCUUCGGGGUCGUGCACAGGUGGUGCAUGGUUGUCGUCAGCUCGUGUCGUGAGAUGUUGGGUUAAGUCCCGCAACGAGCGCAACCCUCGUUCUAUGUUGCCAGCGGGUCAUGCCGGGGACUCAUAGGAGACUGCCGGGGUCAACUCGGAGGAAGGGGGGGAUGACGUCAAAUCAUCAUGCCCCUUAUGUCUAGGGCUGCAAACAUGCUACAAUGGCCGGUACAAAGGGCUGCGAUACCGCGAGGUGGAGCGAAUCCCAAAAAGCCGGUCUCAGUUCGGAUUGGGGUCUGCAACUCGACCCCAUGAAGUUGGAGUCGCUAGUAAUCGCAGAUCAGCAACGCUG